rnacentral:rRNA from 1 species
UACGUAGGGUGCGAGCGUUGUCCGGAAUUAUUGGGCGUAAAGAGCUCGUAGGCGGUUUGUUGCGUCUAUCGUGAAAACCUGCAGCUUAACUGUGGGCUUGCGGUGGAUACGGGCAGACUAGAGGUAGGUAGGGGAGAAUGGAAUUCCCGGUGUAGCGGUGAAAUGCGCAGAUAUCGGGAGGAACACCGGUGGCGAAGGCGGUUCUCUGGGCCUUACCUGACGCUGAGGAGCGAAAGCGUGGGGAGCGAACAGG